UCUCCGUUGGUGAACCAGCGGAGGGAUCAUUACAGAGUUGCAAAACUCCCAAACCCUUUGUGAACCUUACCUAUAACGUUGCUUCGGCAGGCGGCCCCAGGGCGGGGCUGCAGCCUUCACAGGCGCCUGCCGGAGGCCUUUUUAAACUCUGUUUUUCAGUGGUACACUUCUGAGUAAAACACAAAAUAAGUUAAAAACUUUCAGCAACGGAUCUCUUGGUUCUGGCAUCGAUGAAGAACGCAGC
rnacentral:misc_RNA from 1 species